rnacentral:lncRNA from 1 species
GUGGGGCUAUGUGAGCUGAAUCUGGAUCAUGGGCUGUCAUUUUGUACCCCGUUCUACAUUAUCAGACUGGGUUCUUUAAAGACUGACUUUGGCUCUGUUUCUCUAUUAAGGAAGCCCUGUAUACCAAGAUGAUGCUGUAUAAUGUAGGGUAAAAAGAGACAAGUUCAAAGAUUCAUUUUGUCCUGCUAAAGCAUUGGCUGCCAUUGACUCAUCCCAACUCUAUCAGUUCCUUCAUGUAAGAGAGAACAGACCUAACUGAAGCUAAUGGAUCAAAGUUCUGCCAGUGCAGGGAAGAGAAUUUGGUGCCCCCACAUCAGUACAAAGGCUGCAGUGGUAACAGGAUUAAAGUCAGCAUCAGAAUAGAAGAUCUCUUUUCUGUUACAUGACUUGUCAAGCAGAAGUUUUCAGGCAACUUUCCAUGUGUCCAGAACAUUAAACAGAAUUUUUAAAAAAUGUAUCCAUGGAUAAAUUCAUUUAAGUUGCGG